GAUGAACGCUGGCGGCGUGCCUAAUACAUGCAAGUCGAGCGAACAGAUGAGGAGCUUGCUCCUCUGACGUUAGCGGCGGACGGGUGAGUAACACGUGGAUAACCUACCUAUAAGACUGGGAUAACUUCGGGAAACCGGAGCUAAUACCGGAUAAUAUAUUGAACCGCAUGGUUCAAUAGUGAAAGACGGUUUUGCUGUCACUGAUAGAUGGAUCCGCGCCGCAUUAGCUAGUUGGUAAGGUAACGGCUUACCAAGGCAACGAUGCGUGGCCGACCUGAGAGGGUGAGCGGCCAAAAGGGAAAGGAGACACGGGCCAGACCUCCACGGGAGGGAGCAGUAGGGAAUUUUCCGAAAUGGGGGAAAGCCUGAAGGAGGAACGGCCGGGGGGGGAAGAGGGUCUUUCGAGUGAAAAACUUUUUUUGUAGGGAAAAAAAAAUGGGAAAGUAACUAGGCCCGUUGAGGGGGGCCGAAAAAAAAAAGCCCGGGAACACCAUG
rnacentral:rRNA from 1 species